AUGAUACACUGCCUAAUAAAUGCGCCUUACGAUUGUGAGUUUGCUAUAUCAUCAAGAAACAGAGUGCAGGUUAGGAUUAGAGAUUUUUUACGGUGCAUCACACUACCGAAUUUAAGGGGUAGUAUUAAAUUGAUCCAACGGCUGAUAUUGUUGGCCUCAAACAUUGGUUUAAGGAUAGCUUGGUUAUUUGCUAAUCUUCGUCUCUGCUUAGACUCUCGCUGGCACAUGAUCUGUUCAGGGCCUCCGAUCGAUCAAUUGAGCAGGGAAACAGAAUUAAUCGAUUGCCGCUGUACGCCCUCAUCUCCGGCCUCUAUGACAGUCCCAAGUUAA
rnacentral:rRNA from 1 species